UUAGAAAUGUCCUUUAAAGUAAUCAUUUCGUAAGUUCCUUUGGUCUAUACGAUGACCUUGCAGCAAAUAAAAGCUGUCAUUGAGUCAAAUGCUGACUGAUUAUUGUAAGUCCAUUAUUUGUACACAGAAUUGACGACGGGAUUUCCCGUUAUUUCCCGAUCAUGACAAGGAGCACACCACCGGUCAGCAGAAUUUGCUUACUCAUCCAUUGCACCUGAUCCCACCUCUGAUGUUUUGGAGCAUGACGAUGCUUCAUACCAGGAGACACAAAAAUGCAAAGACAACUGCCCAGGUAUUGGAUGUUAUUCAAAAAGGUUGGUAGAAGAUGUGGAACUCUUACGGCUAGCGAGAUACUUAAAUCCACAUGAAUUAGGGAGAAUUGCUACAGAACUCGGAAUCCUCAACAUGGAAGUCAAACGGAUAGAGAGAGAGAGAGCACCAAUCAAUUGAUGACCAGAGAUUUUACGUCCUACAUGAAUGGCGUAAAAGAUCACAACCUACAUUCUCCGAUCUGGGAUGAGUGUUGGCGCAAUUGCAACUUGACAAACACACACUCUGUGAGGUGAAGAAAUAGAUAUAUAUUGAGUAAAACGUUCUGUAAAUACAGAUAUAUCUCCUUUAUCCCUCUCUCCAUUUUCCCUGAAAUGUCCCAACACUUACACGCAAAUCCAGUCUAUCAUCUUCUUUG